GAUGAACGCUGGCGGCGUGCCUAAUACAUGCAAGUCGAGCGAACGGACGAGAAGCUUGCUUCUCUGAUGUUAGCGGCGGACGGGUGAGUAACACGUGGAUAACCUACCUAUAAGACUGGGAUAACUUCGGGAAACCGGAGCUAAUACCGGAUAAUAUUUUGAACCGCAUGGUUCAAAAGUGAAAGACGGUCUUGCUGUCACUUAUAGAUGGAUCCGCGCUGCAUUAGCUAGUUGGUAAGGUAACGGCUUACCACGGCAACGAUGCAUAGCCGACGUGAGAGACGGGUCGGCCGCCCUGGAGCGUGAGCGCCCACCAGGCUCCUGCGGGAGGCAGCAGAAGGGUAUCUUCCGCAAUGGGCGAGAGCCUGACGGAGCGGCGCCGCGCGAGAGAUGAAAGUCUUCCGAUCGUAAAACUCUGUUAUUAGGGGUGAACAUAUGUGUAAGUAACUGUGCACAGCUUGACGGUACCUAGUCAAAAAGCCACGGCUAACUACGUG
rnacentral:rRNA from 1 species